rnacentral:lncRNA from 1 species
UUCUUAGGGAGCUACCAUUUGAUUUUUAUGGGGGGGCUAGGAUGAAAUUUGAAAAAAAUAGGCAGGACAGGAGUUUUGAGUAAAAAAAAAAGGCAGGAUGAGCAACUUGGUAAAAAAAAAGGCAGGAUGACAAUUUGUGUAAACAAAAGUCAGGAUAAACUAGUAAAAAAAAAGGCAGGACCGAAUAGAGUAAAAAAUAAAAAGGCAGGACAGAGAUUACAACUAAAAAAAAAGCAGGACACCAUUUUUCAUCCUAGCCCCCCCAUAAAAAUCAAAUGGUAGCUCCC